ensembl:lncRNA
AUUUCAUCCUAAAACCAUUUAUUUUUAGACAAAAUUGCACUCUGAAGACAGAAGUCAGAACAUUCUGUCAAUAAUAACAAGAACAGAAAAGGAAAAGAAAUCUUCCUUUUACCCAGAAUAGGUAGUGCAAAUAAGUAAAGAAAGCAAAUAGAUCAUAAGAAGUAAAUUAAAAUGCAGAUUUCCUUUUAUUUUUUUCAAAGAUGUUCCUGGUAGUCCUGAGAGAGCUGAUGCCUGCUGAACGUGCCCUCCCCUCCCACCCCUGCUGACACCUCCAGCCAGGCGACUGCUGGCUUAGGGAAGGAAAGCUGCAGAAGCACCUUUCCACAGCUUUUACACUUCUAAAUUGGCUCCCAGCACGAAUCAGACUGCAAUGAUCAUUACUUGUACUGUGUCAUCUCUUGGUCUGUGACCCUGUGCCUCCAGGCUCUGUAGAACCUUGCAGGAGAGAGAGACCAGAAAGAAAAGAUGAUGUAAACUACAGUGAACAUAGCAGAAAAUAAAACAUGGACAUAAGUCUCCGUGUCCCACUGUGUCCCCAACAAAUACGCCCUUUCCAAAAGGCGUGGAUUAACUUCAGUUUCACCUCUUCUGCAAGCAAGGAGUACCUAAGCCAGUGACCCGGCACAGCGUCUCACCAGUAAUGUAGAAUAUGCACUGGCUGUGCUGGAAAUUAAGGAAGUUUCAUGCCUUGAACUCACUGUACCAGCUUUUCCUCCAAUACGACGUUAAGGCUAAAGUCACCCACAAACAAUGCAGAAGGACAGAGCGGGCCUUGGAGAAACACUGCAUUGCACCCACAGCCCUGAUGAGAGAGCUGGGAAUAAUCUGAUAGGGAUCACUCUGAAGGUGAGAGGCAAUGCUGGAGUCUCCUCUCCCUUGUUAACCUUUGUAAAAUAGCCCCAAAGCUCUCACCAGUGUCCUGGUGGGAACUGGUGCCAGUGCAGAGGUCGUACAGCACACCUUCUCAGUCACUUUUAAUGCCACCUCCUCUGUUACAAGCAGCACUGUGAACCCAUUGUUGUGACAGAGGAAAGGCCUGGGAGACUGUAAUUCAUCCAUCUUGGUGUGCUGGGGCCACAGCAGUGGUGAUCCUGAGAACACCUUUCAGGGGGAUUGCUGUAGGGGUUCCCACACAAGAGCAUGUCCCACCAGGGUGAAGGUGCAGCCCGGUCAGAGGCUGGUUCUGGAGAAUUUGGGGGAAUAACCUUCUGAGAGCAGCAUGUUCUGCCAUCUUUCCUUCUCUCCUGCAAAAGUAAAUAUCCACUGAAUUACUGCAAAAGGCAUCCAAUAGUACUUUAGUACUAGCAACAAGCAAGAAAAAAUGGCCCAGGGAUUCAGCUUGAGCUAUGAUCUGAAAUCAGUACAUUCUAAAACAAAGUGUGGUAGAGCAAAGACACCUGGGAAUGUGUAAUGAAAAGAAGAAGGAAAAAAAAGCUUCUACCCCAUUAGUAAAAUAUUAACAAGGUUAAGAAUGCUUUCAAGGAGUUGAUAGACUGUGAAUUCUGAGGUUCGCUCCUUGCCAUAGGUCUUCUGUCUAACUAGGCAAUUUUUGUGCAGCCUGCCCCUAUCUCAGAGGAGAUAAACUCAUUUGGGACUCCAGAGCCAUUUAGAUAUCGCAGUAAAAGUGGCUGCCACAGGAGCUGCAUUGUCUCAGGUUGGGAGUUGAGUCAGGAAAACCUCUUUAGUCAGGAAAGCUCUUCAAGUCACCCAGAGAUACGGCCCUCUCACGGAGACAUUUCCUCCAUGCUCUGCUGCUUGUCUCUUUGGAGAGCAGAAACAGAGGGUGGUUUGAAAGCUAUUCUGUUCGAGUUUAUCUGUUUUUAAACUAAUGGAAGGAGAAAAAAAUGUAGGGUAUAGGCGCUGGUUUAAAGAAGUCUGCUAUGUAUAGGAUUUUGCUGUGCCAGAACAACACAUCUAUCUGUUCUGCACAUUUUGACCUCAAGGAACAAUGCAGAAAUCUGUCUCAAUUACCCACUGGACAAAUGAUGGCAAUGGAGAGCCAUUCCCUUCCCAGUGCUGGGGCCUCUGACCAUGAUGUGCAGUGUGACGGGCAGUGACGAGCAGCAGCUGGUGCUUCAGGGUCAGUUCACUGUUAACACCACUCUGGUGUUAAUAUAUGACACACAAUUACACCUCAUCCUCAAAAGAAAGUGCUAGGAAGGAAUAUGAUCCUUAAAAGGCCUGUUAUUAUUUUUUCCCAAAUUUUCAAAAGGGGAAAGCUAUUACUUCGGUCUUACAUAUGAGAACAGUUGCAGGCUAUGGAGAGAAAUGUCUCUCUAAUAAUUAGAAGAUUGCCUGGAUCCAGAUUCGCAUACUUGCCCUGAUAAUGCAGGAUCUGAACCCAACCCAAGUGUUUAAAAGCCACUGAAAUUUUCUCUUUUCCAAACACAAAUCUAAUCCACCCCAACUUUACGCACUGCUUGUUGCAAACAAAAAGUUGGCUUUUUGCUCCUGUUUAUGUAUCAGUUACAGCUUAACCAGGGACACAGAGGAGCCACUGUGCUGCCGUGGAGCCGCGGGGCAUUCCGGCAGGUGCGGAUCAGCCCUCUCACCGGCUCCAUGCAGGUGGGAGCGCAGCCAACAUGGGCUGGGGAGAGCUUGGGAAAUACGACUGUGGGUUUCCCUGUCCCAUAGUGCAAGGAGGAUGGAUAAGGUUGAGCAGUGGGAAGAAGACAUGGAAGGGAACAAAACAUUCAGACUUGGAGAGGAACAGCAUUUAAUGCAAUUUCUACUCACCUUCUGUCCUCCGCCGACACGUUCCUAGGUGAGGAAGCCAAAGACGUCUUGACUAGUGGAAUUUGCAGUAUCAGCAAGAUACUUCAGCACAUACUUGUUUGGCUUCUCUGAUCUUGACUAUGUUAUUAAUGAUGAUUCAAGCACACAGAAGCUGGUCUUUAACGGUUGAAUAAGGUACUCUAGGUGGACUGCCAGACGUAUAACUUUACAUACUUUUAACAAAUAUAUCUGUUAAAUGGCUUGGUUCAUAAAAAGGUACAUGAUUACAGGGAGAUAAAUGUAACGUUGCCUCCUCUAGGGAGCAGUGGGUCAGGAAUUUCCAACACACAGUCAAGCGAGGAGGAAAUGCUUUGUUAACUGUGAUAGAAGAAUUUUCAUAACAGCCCAUGUGAUUCAGCAGC